rfam:Podiceps cristatus contig2758, whole genome shotgun sequence.
CCACAGGUCUUUUUAAAGACUACUACCACUGACAUUUUGAAGUAG